CAGCCGCGGUAAUACGUAGGGUGCAAGCGUUGUCCGGAAUUAUUGGGCGUAAAGCGCGCGCAGGCGGUCCUUUAAGUCUGAUGUGAAAGCCCACGGCUCAACCGUGGAGGGUCAUUGGAAACUGGGGGACUUGAGUGCAGAAGAGGAGAGCGGAAUUCCACGUGUAGCGGUGAAAUGCGUAGAGAUCUGGAGGAAUACCGAUGGCGAAGGCAGCUUCCUGGCAUAAUAUUGACACUGAGAUUCGAAAGCGUGGGUAGCAAACAGGAUUAGAUGCCCUGGUAGUCCAUGCCGUAAACGGUGGGCGCUAGGUGU
rnacentral:rRNA from 14 species